GGGGACGUCAUGGUUUCGACAAAAGCAAAACCGUUAGGAUUGCAAGUAGAUGGCAAUCUAUAAAUGCAAAAUUAAAUAUAACUGGAAACAGAAAUUUAGCAUUCGCUUAAUUUAAUAUAGGCGAGCUCUUCUAUAUCUUUUACUCACGGAGAUAUUCAAGGGCAAUACUUAGUGAGUUAUGUUAUUAUUUCUCUUACGAAUAAUAAAAGAAGUUUAGUAAGAUAGUUACUUAUUAGGUUGUUGAUUACCAUAUAAGUAAUAAAACUUAAUAAUCAACUAAACUUGUAGAAGUCUUAAUUUAGUUUACUUUUGGACAGGAGUUCAAUUCUCCUCGUCUCCACCA
rnacentral:tmRNA from 1 species